UUUCCAUCUCUGAUUUUGGCUACUGUGAAAUAUAUUUUAUGAAAGGAAUCAUGCAAUUCUUUUGUUUAUGAAUAUCUUAUUUAGAUUACUAUAAAGUAUUAAAGUAUCCAUGUUGUAGCUCAUACUUGUUUUUAAUAACAUGUUUAUUUUCACUAACUUCAGGGACUAAUAAUCUCUCAGUGUUUCACACAAAGUAUGUGCCCCCAAAAUCACUUAUUGCAUUUAAUGAAGUGGAAUUGGAAAAUGCUAAAAUUACCAACCUGUGAUUUUCUAUAAUUCAUCUUUUCCUUUGAUGAAAGAAUAGUGUUUUUCUUGCUAAGCCAUUUUAAAUUCAUACCACACAUCACAAAUUGUUAAGAAAUUAUUGACAGAGGUUUUGUGAAUUCAUUGGAAAAUUUCUCUCUCUCUCUCUCUCUCUCUUUUUUUUUUUGACAAGCAGAAUUAGACAGUGAGAGAGAGAGAGAGAGAGAGAGAGAGACAGAGAGAAAAGUCUUCCUUCCAUUGGUUCACCCCAAAUGGCCGCUACAGCUGGCGCACUGUGCUGAUCCGAAGCCAGGAGCCAGGUGCUUCUCCUGGUCUCCCAGGUAGGUUCAGGGCCCAAGCACUUGGGCCAUCCUCCACUGCACUCCCGGGCCACAGCAGAGAGCUGGCCUGGAAGAGGAGCAACUGGGACAGUAUCCGGUGCCCCAACUGGAACUAGAACCCGGGGUGCUGGCGCCGCAGGCAGAGGAUUAGCCAAGUGAGCCACGGCGCCGGAAAAUCUCUUUUGUGCCAUUUAAAGUCAUUUGUUUGUCCUGGAGCUCUGUAUCUUUUCUUCCAUUUCAAGUACUUAUAUUUCAAUAUCUCUAAAUAGGCAUGAAGAGUAUGGUCCUAGUGGCCCCAUUUGCCUGCAGUGUGGGAUCCUCAGUUUUAACACCUGGACAGAAUUCAGCAAAGUUGCAUGGUUGGUCACCUUCCUGGGCUGUCUUGCUGCUUACCAACAACAAGCUCUUUUGAUGUUGCUGCCAUAAUUUACAAAGUAAGAAAAAUCUUGAAUUCUUGGUUGAUCCAAGUGAUUUUUUUGUGAGGUUAUGAAGAUGAAGAUCCUUUAUAAAAAAUUAUUCCCGGGAAAACAUCAUAAGCCAUUCCUUCAUUAAGACCGAUUUGGUGAAAGAUUUUAAUUUGGUUCCUGUGAUUUAGAUAGUUUUAUCAGUAAAGACCUUUAGUGGGAAGAAAUUCUAGUAAGGAAUUGGAGGACAUGUAACAGUAUAGUACUUGAUGUCUAAAAUGUCUAGAAAGUUUAAAGACUCAUGUUGCACCUACGGCACUUCUAAACAAUCAUAUGCUUUCAUUAUUGUGGUUAGAGAUUAAACAUUAAGCAAAUAAAGUAUUAAAGAUUUCACGCCA
rnacentral:lncRNA from 1 species